rnacentral:lncRNA from 1 species
GACUUUAACUCAAUCAGACCACACUUGGAGUCUUGUGCGCUUUCUGGGCACCACCUUUUAAAAGGAACAUUGACCUGUUCCGCCUCCAGAGAACAGAACCAAGACAACUGGGUGGAAGUUGCUCAGAGAUAAAUCCCGACUCAACAGAAGCAAACCGUGUCUCCUGCCAUCAGAGCCUCUGACAAUGGAAGUGGCUGCUUUGGAAACGGUUUGCUCCCAGGCAUUGAAACGCUGAAGCAGGGGGUGUUUUAACAGCUGUCAAAGAGAUUUUUAUUUUUUUACUAAGAUCCCUUUACUUUAAAUUCCAACACUGUAUGAUUGCUUGAUCACAGAACUCUUCAAUACGUUUUGCCAAGUUGAUAGCUCCUUCUUAGUUCUUUUGUUUGGAGCAUUAACCUCUUCUCGUCCCACACCAAAAAAAAAUUGGCAAAAACAUAUAGAAUGACAAUAACAGUCACAACAUUGAAGUCUUGUUGUUGUCUGACUGUGCCACGUUCCCUCCACUGGGGAAGAAGGACACGCUGUGGCCUGUUGAUUAUCAAAGUAGAGGUCUGGAGGCCACUCAAGGGUGAUGGUGACAGCACAGCACUGACACCUCCAAAUGGUCCUUGGGCAGGUCCAAGCACAAGAACAAGGGCAGCUGAGGCCAAGUGAGGCCAUACGUCCUCUUCUAGUGUCCCCAACUUGCUUAAUGGUGCCUCUUUCCAUAUAGAGACAUGAUGCCUUCCUCUCCAUACCCCAUCCCACACCACCAUCCUGCCCAAUUUCCAUCCAUCUUCACUGUCUCUGUGCAAAUCCAAGCCCCACCGCCAUCUGUCAUCUGAACCUGCACCCCCGCCAUGUGGGCUUGCUCCAAUUUAUUUUACACAAAUCGGAACCUUCCUGUCAUCCCGCUGCUUAUGUUUCUCAGUGGCUUCCCACUGCUAUUGGGAUGAAGAAUCUGGGCCUCAGCCCCACCUGUGUGGCACCGUGAGCUUCCCCAUUUCUGUCUCACUUUGUGCCCGGACCCCAGCCCUUGCUCUCUGUUCCAGUCACACUGACCUUCCUUCCACCCACCUGUCCUGCCACUACAGGGCUUUUGCCCCUGCUCUUCUCUUGGCCUCGGGGGAUGCUCUUCUCACCCCUCUUGGCCUAGUAAAAGCUUCCCCUGAUCUUUCUGCCCAGAUUGUGUCCCUGGGGCCCACGGUCACAGCACCCACACCUUUCCUUCCCAUUUGCAGCUUCUCCCUUUGCAGUUGUCUCUCUGUUUCCGUGAUGAUUUAGUCUCUUCAAGGGCAGGAGCCAUGUCUGGUGUGCUCGGCGUGGCAUCCCCUGAAUGAAUGAAUGAGGAGAAGAAGCUGUGUGAGGGGCUCUGUACUCCCAGUGGCUUCCAGUGGUCUAAGAGCCAUCUAGACACAGGGGGUGGUCAUCCAUAGGGUGCUCUCCUAAAUCCCUG